UGGCGCUUUUUUUUUCAGCAAACACACUUUUCCACAAAUCUGAGAGAUGCAGGUCCUCACUCUCCAACACCAGAACACACCAGCACUCUUACCGGGGCACAACAAAAGCGCGCAAACGCACCUGCGGCAGCGACACACUCACACACGCAGAGCUGAUCCCGCAUCAGCUGAGCGAUCAGAAAUAACUUCACUCACGUCAAACGGCGCUCCUCUCCCGCUCCAGGACCGCGGCGCAUUUUCCUCCUUUUAAAAAGUGUGUCAUAGCUGGCAGGUGCAACUGCGAAUAGAGAGGUCCCGUCCGAUGAGGCGCAGUGAGUCCGGCUCGGCCCGCCCCGGACAGGAUCGGCUGGGUUCGGCUCGGCUCGGGCCAGCUGUCGGUGUGUCUCUGGUGGCCGUCGGGAGAUGACUGUGUACAUUUCAGCCCCUUUUCCCAUCAGCCCGGAGCUCCGCAUACUCUGCCUCUCUGUUCCUGCCUUUUCAUUAUCUCAUGUCCAUGUGACACGCUCGGGCCUCUGACAGUGGAAACUUAAAGGGACCUCCCACGUGAUGGCGCUCCGUGCGCGCUCGCGGUGGGUAGUGCGCGCAUCCCGAGGAAACAAGAUGCUGCGCCCUCAAUAAAAGUGAAACAGCAGGCCGUUAACACCUCGGACCGGCUUUGACCGGACUGUUACCGGAAAGAGGAUGAUGAGGAUGGUUGUUAUGAUGAAGAAGAAAUUAUAGUGAAUUUGAACUUGAUGAUUUAGGCCUGAGUGAUAGAAGCCUAUAUGUUUUGUUGAUGACGUUUUUGAUGCUGAUGAUUUUAUGGUGGCAAUUACUGAUCCUGGUCCAAACAACGGAAGUCCAACAGACCGCUGGAUGACGUCAAGACGGCUACUUCCUCUCCAUUAAACAGCCAAUGGGCCAAAGAUGUGCUUUUCAGUGGUACUCAAUAAUAAAACCAUCUUCUCUAAUA